GAAAAGAAGGAUGUUAUGUGAAAAAUGAUUAGAAGGUCUUCUAAGCGAGUUUGCCCAGUAUCCUGCGAACGCUGGACUCGACAAGGAGCCUUUACCUCUCACUAUAACCCGUUUUCUUCGGUACGUCCGUGUUGCCGUCCCGCUACAAACCCUCCCGACCCAGCCGCCCUCCUCCCAACAUCAAUAUAGACGCUCGCUUUCUUCUCGCCUCCUCCACCGUUUUCCCCCUUCUUCACCCUCUGUUGCAACAUCCCCUCUUCCGCCAUAAUGGCUUCCUCCUUCCUCCGCACCCGCCUCCGCCCCGCCUGCCUGUCGAGCUUUCGCGUCCUCCUCUCCCGCCCACACCCCCAAUUAGUGUUAGGGUUUCGACUGCCCUUGGUUCCUUCCCCAUCCCCUUCCCCUUCCUCCCCAUGGCUCCCACCGCAUCUCUUCUCCUUCUCCACCACCGCCACCUCCUCCCCUCAAACCCUAGCCCCUGAUCCCAUCGCGACCGACGGCGAUCCUCCGCCCGACCCAGCCGCCAUCUACCGGGAGCUACGCGCCGCCCAGGACGGCUCCGCCAAGCUCAGCCGCAGCGAGUGGGAGGCCCUUGUCGGGGUCUUCGCCUCCUUCGCCAAGUCCCCGUGGACCUCCGACCAGGCCCUCGCACUUUACAUCCCCUCGUCCUUCUUCCCUACCGCUGCCCGCCGCUUCCGCCUCUUCUUCCUCCGCCGCUGCCCACCUGCCGCCUUCCGCCACCUCUCCGCCCUUGGUCCGUCCCUGGCCGCCGACCGCUUCCUCUUCCCCAUCUUCGCCGAGUUCUGCCUUCACGAGUUCCCGGACGAGCUCCGUGGGUUCCGCUCCUUGAUGGAGUCCGCUGACCUCACCCGCCCCCAUACCUGGUUCCCAUUCGCCCGUGCCAUGCGCCGCCGUGUGAUCUACCACUGCGGCCCCACCAACAGCGGGAAGACCCACAAUGCCCUCGUUCGCUUCAUGGAGGCCAGCAGUGGCAUCUACUGCAGUCCUCUUCGGCUCCUCGCCAUGGAGGUAUUCGAUCGGGUGAACGCCACCGGUGUCUACUGCAGCCUCCACACCGGUCAGGAAAAGAAGACGCUUCCUUUCUCCAACCAUGUUGCUUGCACCAUCGAAAUGGUAUCCACCGAGGAGUGCUACGACGUUGCUGUAAUCGAUGAGGUCCAGAUGAUGGCUGACCCCACACGGGGUUACGCCUGGACCCGUGCACUACUCGGCCUCAAGGCCGACGAGAUCCACCUGUGCGGAGACCCGAGCGUGCUGAAAGUAGUCGAGAAUGUUUGCAAGGAAACAGGCGAUGACCUGGAGGUGAACCGCUACGAGCGGUUCAAGCCCCUGGUGGUAGAGGCGAAGACAUUGCUAGGCAAUAUGACAAAUGUGCGAUCAGGUGACUGCAUCGUGGCCUUCUCGAGGAGGGAGAUCUUUGAGGUGAAGAUGGCAGUUGAGAAGUUGACCAAACAUAAAUGCUGUGUUAUCUAUGGAGCACUGCCGCCAGAGACCAGGCGUCUGCAGGCUAGCUUGUUCAAUGAUCAGGACAAUGAGUACGAUGUUCUGGUGGCUAGUGAUGCUGUGGGGAUGGGCCUGAAUCUGAACAUAAGAAGGGUUGUUUUCUAUUCAUUAUCGAAAUACAAUGGUGAUAAAAUGGUGCCAGUUCCUGCAUCCCAGGUGAAGCAAAUAGCUGGAAGAGCCGGACGGAGAGGGAGCGUUUACCCUGACGGCCUUGCGACAACCUUCAUUUUGGAUGAUUUGGAUUAUUUGAUCGAGUGCUUGCAGCAACCAUUUCAGGAGGUGAAGAAAGUUGGACUGUUUCCAUUCUUUGAGCAGGUGGAGUUGUUUGCUGCACAGUUCCCGAAAGCAACUUUCUGUGAGCUUUUGGACAAGUUCCGUGAGAACUGCCGCCUUGAUGGUUACUAUUUCUUGUGUCAGCAUGAUAGUGUUAGAAAAGUUGCCAACAUGCUGGAAAAGAUACCAGUCUUGUCGCUUCAAGAUCGUUUUAAUUUCUGUUUUGCACCAGUCAAUAUUAGGGAUCCCAAGGCAAUGUAUCAUCUCCUUCGUUUUGCUUCACACUAUAGCCAGAAUCGCCCGGUUACUAUAGCAAUGGGGAUGCCAAAAGGUUCAGCUAAAAAUGAUGCUGAGCUGUUGGACCUUGAGACAAAGCAUCAGGUUUUGUCAAUGUACAUGUGGUUAUCGCAUCAUUUCAAGGAGGAUACAUUUCCUUAUGCGCGCAAGGCUGAGACAAUGGCCACGGACAUUGCCGAUUUACUCGGUCAGUCUCUAGCAAAAGUUUGUUGGAAGCCUGAAUCAAGACCACAGGGAAGACCAAGGGCUCCAGAGCAGGAUGUUCACGAUGAGGCAUUACCUGUUUCUCAAGAUGAAUAUGAAAGGUCAAUAUCACUUGUUCAAACAUUUACAAUGGGAAAGCAUAAUCAAUCCGGACAAAGUAAUCGUUCAAAGGGGUUUGUCAUCUGACGAAUGUUGCUUGCGUGAAUCUUUUGCCAUGAAUCUGUGUGUUCUUUUGUCGAUGAUCAACUUUUCAGUAGUUGUGCCACGAGUAUCUUGUGUCUCCAUGGGCUUUAUGGAUGGCUUUGGGAAAGGAGAUAAUUAACUUGUGGUCAAAGAGGCGCCUGUGUUGCAAAAGAAGAUUUUGAUCCUUUCAGCAGAAUUACUUACAAGGCCAAACAAUUUGAAAGACUGAAUCCUCAAUUUUGGAUGAAUGGGGAACCGGAUUAGCUGGUGUUUCUGUCUAGGUAAUCACAUUUGGACAGCAUUCUUGACCUCACACUAAUUUAUCAAACUGUGAUGUCUUGUGAGGUUGAGUGUCUUUGUUAUUUCAAAUAACAGUGUCUUGUCAAAUUAGCCACUCUUUUGUGUGGUCAAAAUUUGUAAACUUGAGGGGUUAAUGCUACCUGUAAUGAAGAAAUUGCAAUAACCAUGAAUAUGAGGUAAUAAUGUGACUGAAGUUUAAGUGA